GCAAGUCGAACGGGCCAGUGCUUCGCACUAGUCUCGUUUCUGGGGUUGUUACCUUAGAGCUGCCUACUGAAGUUGUUGCUUUAAAGUCAGGGGUUUUAGGGGACUUUCCCCCAAAGGGGCCAGUGCGGAGCACUGGCUAGUGGCGAACGGGUGAGUAACACGUGGGUAAUCUGCCCUCGAGUGGGGAAUAAGCUUCCGAAAAGGGGGUCUAAUGCCGCAUAACGUUUCAUAACGAUGGUUAUGAAACCAAAGCCCAAAAGGCGCUCGAGGAGGAGCCUGCGUCCUAUCAGCUUGUUGGCAGGGUAAUGGCCUACCAAGGCUAUGACGGGUAGCCGGCCCUGAGAGGGUGUCCGGCCACACUGGAACUGAGACACGGUCCAGACUCCUACGGGAGGCAGCAGUGGGGAAUUUUGCGCAAUGGGGGAAACCCUGACGCAGCGACGCCGCGUGGAGGAUGACGGCCUUCGGGUUGUAAACUCCUGUCAGAAGGGACGAAAUCCCGCAAGGGACUGACGGUACCUUCAGAGGAAGCCCCGGCUAACUACGUG
rnacentral:rRNA from 1 species